UAACAAUAGCCCCUUCCUGCCAGAAGUGACAUCACAUGAAACCUAUAUUCACUUGAUUUCAGAGCUCUGGACUGUCACUUCCGUACUUCAUCUGUCAUCAUGACCAUUGGCCACGCUGGCUUGGGCUGAUGGAAGUUGUAGUCCCAAACUUCCAGAGAGCAUCAUCAAGUUGGAAAAGGCUAUUCUAGACCAUUGACCAGCAAAAUCUCAGGAGAGAAAGAGUCACAGAAGUGCCCUAGGUUGAUCUACAAGCAGGUGUCAAGCCUUAAUCUGCUAUGCCCAGGCAUAUUACAUUGCACAGUUCUUUGCUGACUUGCCACAAGCUAAUUAUUGAUGGUUCACUUCAUUCUAAUAAAAUCUCUAUCUCAUCUGCCUAUCAAACGGAAGUGAAGGG